rnacentral:rRNA from 1 species
UACAGAGGGUGCGAGCGUUAAUCGGAAUUACUGGGCGUAAAGCGCGCGUAGGCGGCUUUGCAAGUCGAGUGUGAAAUCUCCAGGCUUAACCUGGGAACUGCAUUCGAGACUGCAUAGCUAGAGUAUGGGAGAGGGAAGUGGAAUUUCAGGUGUAGCGGUGAAAUGCGUAGAUAUCUGAAGGAACAUCAGUGGCGAAAGCGACUUCCUGGACCAAUACUGACGCUCAUGUGCGAAAGCGUGGGGAGCAAACAGG